AUCUGGGCCCCAGAUCGUGGUCCGCCUGGCCAGGACCAAUGUGAACUUUCUCUCACACCACCCUUCCUUCUCAAAGGACAAAUAUUAUUGCUCUCCCUCUUUUUUGCCUUCUUUUGAGCUCUUUGAAGAACCACUUCUUGACACAUUCUUGCCUGUCUAUAGUCACUUUAACAGAGGUGCCCCAGACACCGCUUAAUCCCUGAUAGUAAUCAGUCAUAGUCGGGAAGGCGUGCUUAGACAUAUCCCAAGGCUUCAGAUAAGUUCCUCUCUUUGGAUAUUCGGACAAGACCUUUUCCCUCAGUGGGGACUCACUUGGACCCCCAGAGUUGGUAUAAAGUGAGAACAUUUGAACUACAGAAGAUACAGAAAGAAAUUUUAUCUGAGUUUCUCUUAAUCUGACUAAAGCAAAUCCUCCUGAAAAUACAGCUACCUUUCAACCCUUUCCAAGGGAGUUUCCUGCUAAUUCAGUUGCCCUGGAGACAGAAUGUCCAUUGCAAUUAGCAUCAAAAAGCCCAGUAGAACCUUCCAUACUCUCCCACUGAAGUCCUAAAAACCCCCCUUUUGUUAAAUUGAGAUGUAUACAGUUACUUCAGGCUCUUCCAGGAGGUUUCCAUUAUUGGAAACUGCCCCCCCAUGCUAAAUAAAUCUUGUCUUUUCUCUUUUUAAUCUGUCUAUUGUCAGUUAAUUUGCAGGACCCAAUCACUGGACUCAAAUUGGAAGAGGCAAAAGGUUUUCCUCCCAACACUCCCGGGUUGGGUUCUCCAGGAAGCAGACACUGAUAUGGAGUUGAGAGUACAGAUCUCCUGGAGUGUAACGCCAGAGAAAGUCAGGGGAAGCAGCAGGAUUGGUCUGUGAGGGCUGUCAAACCACGAUGCAGACCUCACAAGGUCUCCGCCGGCCCGAUGGGAGCAAGAGACUAGCCUCGGGCAGAAAAGCCUAGGCCCUUGUACCACUGCUUUGGAUGUUCAUUGGCAGGGGCCGCUGGAGCAGUGCCUGACUUCAGCUUAGUCACUGAGGUGAAUCCUGAAGGAGCUACAGCUGGAGGCGCUCAGCUAAACACACUCCUUGCAGCUGGGGAGCAAGCCCUGCCUUGAAGGGAAAUCUGAGUGACGCCCUGUGUCCGCUCUAGUCCACCUUUCGUGCCAUGUGGAUCUGUUUCUCCAUCUGUACUUGGGAAACAGCUUUUUCAGCACUCCGAUGGGCCACUCUUCCUGAAAAAUAACUUAGAAGAGGGAAGUUAAUGGAAUGAACUACGGCUUCUGUCAUUGCACCUGGUUGUAGGACCACAACUGGCCCUCAUCACUUCCCUCCACAACCAUCCAUUUCUUUUUCUUUUUUUAUUGAAAUAUAUUUGAUUUACAAUAUUGUAUUAAUUUCAGGUGUUCAGAAAAGUGAUUCGGUUAUACAUAUGUAUAUAUCUAUAUUCUUUUUUUUUUGAUUCUUCUCUAUUGUUGUUUAUUACAAGGUAUUGAAUAUAGUUCCCGGUGCUAUGCAGUAAAUCCUUGUUGUUUAUCUAUUUUAUAUAUAGUAGUGUGCAUCUGUUAAUCUCAUACUCCCGAUUUAUCCCUCCCUUCCCUUCCCCUUGGGUAACCAUAAGUUUAUUUUCUGUGUCUGUGAGUCUAUUUCUGUUUUGUAAAAAAGUUCACUUGUACUAUUUUUUAGAUUCCACAUAUAAGUGAUAUCAUAUAGUAUUUGUCUUUCUCUGACUUAUUUUACUUAGUAUGAUAAUGUCUAGGUCCAUCCACGUUGCUACAAAUGGCAUUAUUUCAUUCUUUUUUAUGGCUAAUAUCCUAUUGUAUAUACUACAUCUUUAUCCAUUUGCUGAUGGACACUUAGGUUGCUUCCAUGCCUUGGCUGUUGUAAAUAGUGUUCCUAAGAACAUUGGGGUGCAUGUAUCUUUUCAAAUUAGAACUUUCAUCUUUUCCAGGUAUAUACCCAGGAGCGUGAUUGCUGGAUCAUAUGGUAGCUCUAUUUGUAGUUUUCUCAGGAACCUCCAUACUGUUCUCCAUAGUGGCUGCACCAGUUCACAUCCCCGCCAGCCGUGCAGGAGGGCUCCCUCUUCUCCACACCCUCCCCAGCAUUUGUUGUUUCUAGACUUUUCGAUGAUGGUACCACUAUCCAUUUCUAAUUCCCCUCACCCUGAGGUGGUCUCAGUAGAUCACCUGGGUGGGCACCCCAAACCCUCAUUCCUAAGAGGUCCAAGCACCUUCUCAGACCACUGUUGCUGCUCUUGUCUUGUCUAUUCACAGUCACAGUUGGGCAAAAGAGUACCAACUGACACACAAAUAGGUCCCUGGAGUACACACAUAUUCCUCUCUGCCCCCUCUAACAGCAGCCCUACCUCUUCCUGCUGACCAGGUCAAUUACCUCUGAUAAGACAGUGAUUCCUUGUCUUACUGCUGGUCUCUCAGCAUUAGGAGGGCAAAGUGCCUGGUGACAGCCAUAACGUGUAAUCCAAUGGGAUAUUUGCUGUAUCCCCAGGCAAGAAUGUGCCCCUUUUGGGGACCAAGACUUCUAAUUUCGCAGAACCCGGAAUUGUGGGGACAGGGAAGCUCAGUGGAUUUGUAGGAGAGCAAAACUUGCCGCCCCCUAAUAUCACUUUAGCAUGUGGAUUAUUUCCAGCUGAAAAUAAUCAAGGCCCAAAAGACUCAGGAAGAAACUCUGACCUUCCCACAACUGCCUAAAAAAAAUUUAGAUAGAGGGUCUGUUCCCAAAUAGAGCUAUCACCAGAGAUACCUGCAAAGAAUAUGGGCUAGAGGUGGUAGGGGAAACACUAAACAGGGCCUAGAGAUCAGAGUCCACUCUGUGUCCCGUUGUUUCUGCCUGACCCAGCAAACAUUUAUUUACCAAACGUUUGCUUUUCCAUCUCCGUGUGAAUGGCCUUCUUCCCCUUUGAAGUCCCAAACCACCACCCCCAACAUGCUCUUUUGUCUUUAGCUGAAGAUGGUAUUUAAGGUGAGCGAUUCAGCUAUUUGGGGGACUUACUCAGUUUUCCUGCAUCUCUCCCAUGUAUACAUGAUAUUAAACUUUGAUUUUCUUCUG